CAGUUUUUUCUAUGUCAUUUCGGAUUGUGGAACAAAUUCUUGCAUACCACUUCUCAGAAAGGAAUGCAUCUGGAUGUACACCAUCAUAAAAGUUGAUGUCCCUGAUGUCUUGUUCCAGAGAAUGUUGCUGGAACUGGGAGUUUUCGAAAGAAAAUUGACUUGUUUGCAGGUUACCUUUCCUGAACUGAAAAUCUUUAAAAUUAUGAACUGAAACAGGAGGGAUGGUGGAAAAUUGUACAGAAGUGCCAGAUGAUUGGAAGAUUGCAGAUACCAGCCAUGAAAACAAUGCGACAUGGUGAGGAGUCGGGCGUGGAUUUUUUAAAUGACAGAACCUCGUCUUUUAAUUUAUCUAAAGAUGCUCCAGGCCUGCACAGAACGGUGGUUUUCCAGUGGCGAGGAAAAGGAUCAUAUUUUCGUAGCAUAAAAAGGGAAAGGUUUUUGAUGUCAAAUGGCAGUAAACAAGAAAUAUGGCAUGGUCUCCAAUAUGUACUAGCAAAUAGGUUGUUCCAUUGAAAUUGCUGCAACCACUGGGCCUGACAAAGAGUUGCUUUGUACUCACGAAGACAUGAAAGGACAUCUUUUAAUUCUUUUUCGUGCUCCCCUUGCCGAAUGAUUUUCUUUAAAAAAACAGCAGUUUUGAAUUCUUGCCAAACUAAAACACCAUGCAUAGAAGCUGGGGAUUUACCCUUCGAAUAAUUUACAGGGGAAUCUAAGACUGGUGGAAGUUGUACAUCAUCUCCAAAAAAAACUACAACGGGAAUACCACCCCAUGUCUGGUCUGAUAUACCAGUGCCACAUCUGCAAUGAAAAUCCAUCCAUCCAAGUGUAGUUGAUCCAAUUAAAGAUCGUUCAUCAACAAGAAUGGCAUGAAUUCCAGAGCAGUUAACUUGCAGAUCCUCCCCUAACGACCCAUCUGGUGCCUUCAUUUCUCCUCCUCUCUGAAGGUACUCCAAUCAUGGUCAGGACCUCCAUCAUCAAAAGUAAAAUUUUGAUGCAAGUCAUCAAAGUUUGGAUUUGGACGAAGAACUUCCAUCCAUUCUGGUUGGACCACAUUGUCAUCUGAACAAUCUUCUUCUUGUGAGCAAUUAUUGCUGAAGUACUCUACAACCAGAUAAACUCACAUAUUGAAAAGAGUGACUUGAACGGAACAGGGGUAUUGAGGAUAGCUCAAAACAGGCUUCAACAGAAGAAACGUCUCUCUUAACAGUAUUCAUAAGAAGUUUAGUACAGAGUGAUUUCGGUGUUUCACCUGAGGAUUCAUCAGAAUUGUUCACCAUGUCAGAAAAAAGAUCAGAAAGAGCACCAGUUGGUUCGUUCAGUUGGUUGGUUCGUUCCCUUUGCAGGCAUACCCUGUUAUAUAUUUUUCUGUGGCAAGAAUUUCGUCUACAGAUGGAUUAGAUGGAUCGCUUUUAGAAAGAAUUAAUGAAAUGUCGCCAUUGGCUCUCCAGCUUUGUGUAUGAAAUUUGGAAUGUUGCACAAGAACUGGAUGAUCUCUCUCCAUUUCAAGUCGCAGAGACCCAUUCCUGUCUUUAACCAAAGCUGGGGUGGAUCGUAGCUGUUUCGGAAAUUCCAUUCUACAUUUUUCUCCAGAUGCAUUGAAUUUUGAAGGUUUCAUGCAAUAAUCUGAACAACGGUGUAAAUUAAAACGGUUGGAUAGAAGUAAAUGAUCC